UCAUGCCAAAGUGGUGCAACAACUUCUGGCCCAUAAUGGACAAACUUAGAUUUGGCAUUAUUUCUGGUGUCGUGUUCCUCAUCGGGCUCAAUCCCGCAUAGAAACUCAAGUUCUUGCUUAGUAACUUCAACAACGUCCGCAAGGUUCCAUGCUUCUUGUAUGAAUAGUUUGGUUUCUUCACUUGACUGCCACAGUGGCAAGGGAAGGUUUACAUCAUAGAAAACAACUGCUCCCAAUUUCUUUGAAACUUUAAUUGCUCGCAAUGCAGUUGAUCUCAUGCUCCGAUCAAGCAGGGAAUGGGUGUUGAAGUAGAACAUUUUUGCCUGGAUAAAAGCUCAUUAAUAAUGUGACUAAAUCCUGGAGAAAUCAAAGUUUGGUCACCGACCUUGAACUGCAGAAAACAUAGCUAUAAGCAGAUGCUAUUUUACAGUUUUACAGAAUUCACAUAAACACCGAGAAAUUUCAUGCCACAGAAAUCAGAAGCAAUAGUAUGACAGCGAGUAACAAAUCCCUCUCUUGGGGUUUUAGAGAACCAACAAGCGUGAGAGUAAAAAACACAGCAUUGCUUUGUGGUAUUUAAAUCAGUUCACGGGCAAUUUUCUCUACGUUAAAAUGACAAGACCAUCUAUUAGUAUCUAAUUACUCUAUUCAUAUACAUGAUUAUAGAAACGGAAGUUGAAUUUUUCAUGUCAUCUAUCUUGCAAAGAUCAGGUCCAUUUCGAAACCCAAACACAUAUAUCAUUUUUAAUGAAAUAACACUGUAAUUUACUGAUUCACAGCAACUUGAUAUAACCACAACCAAGAGGACAAAGAACAAGAGGCACAAAGCAUUAAGAGUUGGAGAUGUUAUUUCUUCCCAGCCCAUUACCUGCUUCAGCACAUCAAUAUUUAGUUCAGACUUCAACAGGGAAUCUUCUGCACAGGACUUGGAACAAGUCAUUCUCAAGCGACCUCGCCUGGCAAUCUUCAUCUGUGAUACCGCUGUUGAUCUUUUACUAUCCAUGCGAACUGAUCGUGUUUGAACGUUGUUCACAUUUAAAAAGUAAAGCAUUGCCUGACCAAACUCAUCAUCUCCAAGUUUUCCCAUGAAAGCAACCUUACCGCCCAAGCUUGCAAGAGCAACUGCAACACCUCCUGCGGAUCCCCCAGGAGCCCUCAUAAAUUUUUCAGGUUCCCAAUAAGCUUCCCUCAUUCUGUCAUGAAUUUCAUAAUUUAAGAGUCUGUUGGCUGGUCUUCCUGUGGGUACAAAAGCAUGUUGUGCAGCUCCAAAACAACAAACAAGAGGGGGCCAAUCAUAUGUGAAGGUGAUAUCCUCUCCGUCAUCUUUAUCUAAUUCCAGGUCUCCAUCACUCUCCUCCUCCAAAUUUGUAACAAAUUCAGACUGCUCCUGAUCACUAUUUUCAGAUUCACUAUCUUGAGUCUCAACAUCCUCAUCCAUCUUUUUUCUUGCCCUCCUCUUCCUGACCUUCUCCGUUGAUGACUCUUCCAAACUAGUAGAAGCAGACACAUCUGUGGGCAACGAAACCAAGGGGUUUAGAAAUUACUAUAAAAAUAACAUUCACUGAAUAAUAAUUACAAUAAGGUUGUACCUUUUCGUCGAGUCCUCCUUCGAGUUUUUUGGGAUCUUCAGACACAACACUUUUCUCAUUAGUAGGAUCAUGAAUCCCACUACUUCAGAAUUCUCCUCAAGAGCAUCAGCUACUUUUUUCUUCCUAGUUCGUGAGGUAGUUCUUUUAGUACCAGUCCUAGUUGUCUUUUUUUUCCCAACUACGCCAUUUUCACCGGGUUCCUCUUCAGGUAAAGCCUCUGAAAUUUUCUUCCUAGAGAUAGCUGCAAGACCCCAUUUAUUUUGCAAUCUAAAAUCCUGAAGCUGGACAAAGUUCAUCCGUUGAUGAUUUGGCCAAUUCAAUUGCCACCUGAACAUUUAAAGAUUAAAAAACACCAACCAAACAAAAGUUACUAAAGAAGUAAACAGAACAAUAAUUUAAAAAAGCCCUUAAUAAACCUCCUUUUUUUUGUGAACAAAAAAAAAAAGCUGCAACUUUACAUUGUGAGUGGAAUAAAAGCAAAGCAACAACAUCCUUUCUUCUUCUUUUUCCCAUCUUAGAAAUUAAGAUAAAACAGCUUUUCAAGUGAUAUGAAGCAUAUUGGAGGAUUAUCUUCACACACGAAGGCCAAAACACACAUCCACUAACCAGCAAUCAAAACCCAUCAAUUAAAGUGAAGUGUAAAGGUGAAAUCAAAGAUUCAGCAGCUAAUACUAAUCCAAAUAUGGAAGUUGAAAGAAAGAAGAUAAAAAACUCAGUAACUAAAGAGUGAAACUUUAGAUAGAAAGAGAACCUGGACAGUGGAAGGAAGUGAGUGAAAGAUAGAGACGCCAUUGCAAUGAAGAAAGACGGAGAGAGCUUUAAUGAUAAUAAUUUUAUUAAAAAAAAGAGAGAGCUCUCGAACUUGUUGAUGGAUUGGUGGGAUUUUUGUGUCUAGACCCCAAAAUGGUUCCGGGGUUUAACAAAACGAGUCAGUAAAGAACACUUGACACUUAUAGCGGGCGAGAUGAGAGGAUAGCGUAAACUUCAUUCUCAUUCUUGUAAAUUGAUCAAUAUCUCACUUAUACCUUUAUAAUUUAUAACCUUUCAAUUUUACCCCCAUGAUGCUGCUCAUUAUAUAGGUAAAGGGUAAAGAUGAAAUAUUGUUUAAUUUGCAGGAGAAAGAUGGAGUGGUAAUAAUAUAUAUUUUUUGCUUUAACUUUUAAUUAGGAAUAAAGAAGAUCUGCACCCUCAUCCUGUAAAAACGAAACCAGCGUGCCAGGCCGGGAAACAACAUAAAACAACGAGAUUUGAAUGCUUGCUUCUCUCUUGGUUUCCUAGAUUUAAUUUAACACUUCCAACACUCGGGUGGGUGCUUGUUCUUUUUCUUUCUUUUCUCUUUUGGGUUUCGUUUGGUUAACGUUAUUAAUGGAUGCUUUAUAACUCCACGGAUUGAAGAAGGGGCAGAAACUCUGACGUUUUCCUUUUCUUCUUCUUCUUAUUUUGAGAGACCAGCACCGUUAUUCAUUGCGGAUAUGAUUCUUUUCAAGCAGCUGCUGCCCACCAAACGUGGGCUAGGUGGUGCCUUGAACCGCUUCAGAGGUAAGAUGUGUUUCUUUUAUCAUGUUAAUUAGACGCUUUUUUUUAUUGUGAGAUAGAUAGAUCAUCAGACGCCAACGUGAUAAGAUACUCUGGCAUUUAAAUUCAUGCUGAAUCUGGUCAAUUUGAUAUCUUUCCGGAAAAUUGCUCAUCUUUAUGUUAUCUAAUCAACGCNNNNNNNNNNNNNNNNNNNNNNNNNNNNNNNNNNNNNNNNNNNNNNNNNNNNNNNNNNNNNNNNNNNNNNNNNNNNNNNNNNNNNNNNNNNNNNNNNNNNNNNNNNNNNNNNNNNNNNNNNNNNNNNNNNNNNNNNNNNNNNNNNNNNNNNNNNNNNNNNNNNNNNNNNNNNNNNNNNNNNNNNNNNNNNNNNNNNNNNNNNNNNNNNNNNNNNNNNNNNNNNNNNNNNNNNNNNNNNNNNNNNNNNNNNNNNNNNNNNNNNNNNNNNNNNNNNNNNNNNNNNNNNNNNNNNNNNNNNNNNNNNNNNNNNNNNNNNNNNNNNNNNNNNNNNNNNNNNNNNNNNNNNNNNNNNNNNNNNNNNNNNNNNNNNNNNNNNNNNNNNNNNNNNNNNNNNNNNNNNNNNNNNNNNNNNNNNNNNNNNNNNNNNNNNNNNNNNNNNNNNNNNNNNNNNNNNNNNNNNNNNNNNNNNNNNNNNNNNNNNNNNNNNNNNNNNNNNNNNACUUGAGCAGAUACGACACGAGGUCUCUCCAAGAGAACUGCCUAUCAUUCAAAAUUUAAUAAAAAAAAAAAAAAAAAAAAAGAGUGAGGUGGGUUCUUUAUGAUGUAAUGCGAAGUUCGAUCAUCAGGUGCCUGUGUUCAUCCAUUUGAAAGUAGUCACGGUCAUAACAACAGAAGAUAUAAAAAAGAAAUUUAAUCCAGUAAGACUUGCAAAGCUACAUUCAUUUUUCACCCAUGACAUGCUUCCCUAAAAGCUUUUUAAAAGAAAUCACUUAGAUCUUCAGGAUAAAUGAAGAGCCCAGAGAUCCUGUCAAAUUCAGUUUGCCUGACAAUAUAUAUGUAUUAAUUGGCAUAAAAAGAGUUUCGGCCAUGAAUAAUUCACAACUAAACAAGAUUGGAUCGCAUAAAAAUGUGUUCAGGAUUUUACUGAUUAAUAAUUUAAUUCAGUAAUUAUAAACUACUACUACCAAGGAAACGGAUGGUGAGUAAAUUGAAAUGUGGGCGGGAAGAAAAGGAGACUCACUCUUCCUUCAGGGCUCUUUUUCAUUCUCUCAACAACUCUUUCAAAAGCAGGUUUUCCAGUUGUUUCUCCAAGCGCCGCUAUCAAAUCCGCCCUUCGUGGAUCUAACAACGCACCCACAGCGGAACCAACCGCAACCGCCGCCUGUUGCCAACUAUUCAGCCGGAUUUUACCUCCUCCUAUCAUUGCUUGCUAUUCUCCCAGAUACAAAAUAUAUACACUUCACUCUUCACGCAUGUAUGAGAGAGAAAGGGGAAAGGAGGAAGGGCAAGACCGGAGACGGUGGUUUUCUUUAAUUAGAGGUGGAUAAAAAAAGAGGAGUGGGCCUUCCUGGAUGUUCUUUCAAGCCCAGGAGGGCUUUUUUUUUUUUUUUGAUUGCCUGCAUGUUCCUGGACUUUCCUCAUGCCGAUACACACACUUUAAUCCUUUCGCACCUUCUACUCUUCUUGUGAUCGUUUCUUUCUUCUCUCUUUUCAACAUUAUUGUAUUGUUUUUUCAGCAGAGUUCUCUGUCAUAUACAGUGAUGUAAAAAGAUUCCAGGUAUGAUUUUUACAAAAUAAUUUAUUUUCUAUAUAUAUAUAUAUAUAUAUAUAUUAUAUAUAAAAAAAUUGAGUGAUUUUUACUAAUUGUACUUCUAACAUAAAAGUCAUGUCAACUUAUUUUUAUCUAUCAAGAACAACCUUUUUAUACCACAAUUCAAUAUCAAAGGCACGUAUUUUUUAUACGUCAUUUCAAAAAGAUUCAAGGUCCAUUGUUGAUUUCUUAAUUUUCUAAAGUGGAUCGAAUUCAUUUAUUAUUUACUUGACAUGACUUGGGAAAAAUGAUUUCUUUUUACCUUGAGUUAUAAUUUGACAUUUGUUUUUUUUUAAAAUAAUUUAUGAUAAAGAUAAGUUGAAAUAACUUUUAGAUUAGAAGAAUGUUUGAAAAAAAUGAUUUCAAUUUUUUUUUUUUAACGAUGAGAUGUAAUAUAAGUCGGGAUUUACAAGUUAAAAUUCAAAAUUCUUAACUUUUAUUAAAUCAAUAUUUAAGCUCAAAUUUGUAACAAACUUUUAAUAUCUAAGUCAAGAACUAUUUCUAAUUCAAAUAUAUAUAUAUGGCUUUUCCAACGAGUAAAAUGUCAAAAAAUAAAUUAAAUCAUUUUAUACCAAACAUAAUCUUACUUCAAAUAAACACAAGAUUAUAGAAAUUCUCAUUUUUCCAGUAAAGUUUUGAUAUGAGAUUAAGAGUCUUACACUAUAAAAUGAUAUAAAACCACAGUAAUAUUAUUGAUAUCAAUAAGGGAAAGAGAUAAAUUAAAUUAUAAGAAUGAUAAUAUAUUGGAGAAUUUGAAUUAAAAUAUUUUGUUUAGGUGUUGAAAUAUAAAAAUAAAUAAAUAUAAAUAAAACUGUUAUAAAACUAAAUUUCACAAAACUAAAAGUAAUAUACAAAAAUAUAUUAAGGUCCUUGGAAUUGCCAGGUGAUGGAGGUGGGUUUGGAAUGUCUGGGCACACACCAUGCCACAAGCCGAAACCUGGUUGGGCCAACCUCAAUUUGGGCUCUGGGCUGUUUCUGGAAGCUAGGCUUAGCCGAAGGGCAGUCGGUGCAUAAGCUGGUAGCAAAACCUGGGCUUGAUGGCCCGACCAAACCAGAGGGAGUUCGGGGAAAUCUAAUUGAAAUUGAACCUGUUUUACUCUCAAAUCGAAUGGGCCUUGAAUACAUUUUAUAAUCAGGAUUAUAUUCUUGUCAUUAUUUGACUUUUUCCUUGAUGAUUUGCAUUUGAGAGGUCUAUUCUGGGCAUUGCUUGCUUAAUGGAUGUUGUGGUUUAUAGCUGUGGAGGUUAAUCUGAAAAUCAAAUACGUGGAGCGAAUGAUAAGAAAUUAAGUCCUGGCUAGCACAAGUCAAAUAAUGUGCUAAUUUGUACUAAUUUCUCUCUUGAAAACUUAAAUUGAUGCGUGACAGUUGCCACUGGAGGCAGAAAUUAGUUUCGUGUGUGGAAUCUUAUUAUUAUUAUUUUUUAAUGUAGUUAUUGAACUAGUUUGUGUUUAUUUGAUUAAUUCCAUAAACAUAAAAUUAACCAUCAUAUAAACUUUCGGUAUCAAUCAUAUUAACAACCACAAACUCAAACCUGAUCUUAUUUUUUAAUAACAUGUUCUAAUUCAUUUAUUUACUGUACCAAAAUAAUAUUUAUUUAUUAUAAUUAUAAUAUAAAAAUAAAAGAAACUAAGAGAUUUUCAUAGUCUGAUCAAAAGAAAGAGCAGGUAAAGGAAACUUGAGUGGUAUAUCGUUUCUCCGCUGGAAACUUGUGUUUUCGGGCUGCUCCUUGGUGUCCAGGUCCAUUCUCGUUUUGUUCUGAAAAAAUAAAUUAAUGGAAACAGGUUAAAGAAAUCAGGAAUACACAGAGACUUUUGAUACGAGAAUUAAUAAAAAGGGUUACUUCCCAUUUAUCUCCAAGAAACCACUGAAUAUUACGGCACACGGAAAUAUUAAUAUUCCAUUUUCAUCUCCUUGGAGAUGGAAAAUCACGAGCAAGAGAUCACGGUGGAUGAUAUGAGCAGUGAAGGAAAACACGACCAAUGUGUGUAUAAAAUUUUUUUAUGUAUGUUUUCAUGACUAAAUACGUCAUGGAUCUAGAAUAUAUUAAAAUAAAAACUAAAAAAGAAGGAGAAUUCAGUGUGCUCAUUAGAUAUAAAAUACUAUUCAUCGUUAUUAUCAUUUUAUCAUUCUAAAAAGAAUGAAUUAUCUUGUUUUUUUUGGGUAAUGAGAUCUUUUCACAUGGUUAAUUAAUUAUUAUUAGAUUCAAGCUUUUGAAACACAAGACAAUAACUAAAUUAAUCUUAAAAAACAUAAUUUCUUUAAUUAACGUCUAGGAUCUUUUUUGAAUUUUAACUUUUUAAAACACAAUAAAAUAACUAAAUUACAUUUGAAACAAAAAAAAUCUUUAAAUGGUAUCCAAGGUUUUUUUUUUUCAUUAUGUUUUUGUGGUUACAAUCAAGUUAAUUGAGGGUACUUUGAUUUUUUUUUUAAUAAAUAUAAAUAUUAUUUUAAAAACUAGUUGACGCCUACAUUAUACAUUUCAGAUUGUGGAAUGCCUCCACACUAUUCUAACAACACAUUCAGAGGUGUUUGGAGGCCAAAUAAUGGCUUAUUGGGUAGCGCUAGAAUCAUCUCGGUGACCUUUCAUCAUUGAAUGACAUAUAUGAUUUACUAACCUCCAAUAUGAUGUCGACGACCUUUUUUCCUUUUUUUUCUCUUUUUUCUUUCAUUUUCAUGCUUGACGUUUCAAAAUUUAAAGCAUUUAUUUAAUUUGUUUUUGUUUCAGAUUUAAUCUAUAUUUUUUAUUAUCAUUUUAUUAUUAUGAUUGCUAUCAAAUUUGCUAUUUGUUAUCCAUCAUUUAAGUUUGUUGGGGGAUGAAACUUUGUUUUUUCUAUAAAAUUAUCCUGAUAUCAUAUGUAAGGUCAUAUAUUUGGUGAAUUAACUCAGAUUGACUCGAACUAAAUGUUUUUAUUCAAUUUAUUUGUUAUUAUUGUCUAUUUUUUUUAUCACAUUAUUAAAUCACCCAAAUUUCUUGAAUCCAUUCAAUAAACUCUUGAAUUUUGAUUGAUUUUUUAAAAAAGAAUAUCAAAAAGUUUGGUCCAACUGACACUAUACCGAGUUCUACCACUGUAGUAGAGAGCAUAAAAUAGCAUGCCGAUGGAAAGGGAAUAUACAUGUCCAUUUAUAGCUAGGCUUACGUAGCAAACUCAUUAUCGAUAAGUGGACCACUAUGAAACAAGUGGAUUUUUCCAUCUCAUGGAUCAUGUUUGACAGACAGAGACGUUUCUUUUUUGCACAGAUUGACAAAACAAUAAAUCAGGUUACCCAACUGAUCAAUGGUGGGUGGAAGAAAAGAGUGGUUCAUUGUGCAUACAAGAAAAGUUUCUUCCGAGUGCUCGGAAGUCAGGUCUGUUUGCAUCCUGUCAUUGUAACUCAAAAGGUCGGUUAACAUCAACUCGAAAAUAGCAUAAUCUUCGGGAAACCAUCGACAAGUUGUAUGAACUAAGAUCCGAGAGGAAAGAAGGAAUAAUUAUAUUGCAGAGCUUCUUGGCGAAGGCUUUCCGUAAUUGAUUCUAAGAUAUUCUAUACUUUACUGUAUCCCAUUUUGAUUCUAAGAUAUUCUCCAAAGUAACCCCGGGCCGGCAUCUCUCUUCAUCAGAGCUUGGAGGUGUCACGAUCGACACCUGUGACUCUGUACCCUCUUCCGUGCUUGUAAGAGAAUACAUUUAUUCUCCUGUUAACAUGCAAGGCUAAGUUUGUAGAGAAGACCGUGAUAAUAUCUAUUUUUUCUGUAAAUAUAAAUAACCUGCUUAGGAUUUCAUUCGAGGAAAAAAAUAAUUUAAUCCCAGCAUAUAAACGAUCGAGUUAGAAUGUUAAAACCAGACGGGAACAGAUAAAAGCAUGUCUGAUAUAUAUUAUUAAUUCGUAGCGUAUAUUAAACCUGCCCCCCAUGUUGUUCCACAAGAAGAAGAAGAAGAAGAAGAAACCCAGAUGUAUGGGCCAGUUACGUUGCAUUCAACAGCUACAAUCAUCAAAAGAAAGACAAAACUAAUUAAUGUGAAGAUACAUGUAUGUAUCAUUAUCAAUAUCAAUUCCAGAAGUUGAUAAACAAACUACAAGGCCCACGAUAUCGACAACACUGAUACGACACAUAUAAUCAAUCAAGUUCAUCUCUUAAUUUUAACAGAAAAUGGCAAGAAAAUUGAUAAUUCCGGCCCGUUGUGUUUUCAAUAUCGACCACUUGAUUUUUUUCUUUUCGUAUGAAAAAAAAUCCUAUAUAUCUGCACAGCACACGUAUAAGAUAUAUUGGUUAUAUAUCAUUUAAUUAUGGAUUAAAUACCACAUAGGAACACUCGAAGAUUAUUAAUUAUCAUUGUUUCAAGGGUAAGAGUAUACAUUUACACCCUAAAUUUCAUAUAUUAAAACUGAAUUCUCUUUCCCAUCGAGUUUUAAAUCGGGCUAUGCACUUGUAAAAUACUCUAUGCGUAGACCGAAGAGCAGUGCAAAUUAAUAGUUAACUAUGCACAAAACAGACAACAGCCAAAGAUUUCUGCAGCGAACAUGUUUACGCACAAUUUCUUAAGUUCUUGUAUAUAUGUAAUGAAAUGUCGUUAUAGGGGAGUUUUACGAGGUGGUUCUUCUGGUAGAGAAACUGGAGCUGAAAAUGACCACUAAACUCAGAUCGAUUGACAAAAUAAUUGUGGGCACGCUAGCUACUGCAAGUACCCCCUAGGGGCUAGGAUGCAUAGCGUGACACGACAACGUGUAUAUGAACAGGCCUUGAACAGCAACAUGAACUGUGUAUGAAUAACCUUCACGCUACAAUAUAUAUAGUUUUUUAAAAAAACCGUGACACGAUACCAAACAAAUAUACUUAAUUGACAAUACCAACUAGAACUAGGAGUAACUCGCUAUUUAAUCCGAGUUUCAGGCUUUCAGCACUGGUUUAAUCUUUAAAAAAAAAAUAAAUUAUAUCGAGUAUACAAAUUGUUUUAAUGUAAAAAAAUUUAAAGUAUAAAUUAAAAAAUUUAUGGAAGUUUCUAGUUAAAUAAAUUGAUAAUUAUCUAUAUAUAAAAAAAAAUCGAAAAAAACUGAAAAACCUAAGAAAUGAAUUUAUAUUAAGAUGUUCAAUUAUAUAAAAUGAAACAAUAAUGUAAUUUUAUUGUAUUUACUUAACUUAUUUAUUUAAAUCAAUAAAAGAUAAAUCUACACCCUAAAAAACUCAUGAUUUAAAAGAUAAAUAUUAAUGAAAAUGACUGAAUAAACUCACGCUAAAAAAGUAUAACGCAAGGUCAAACACAUUAUCAAUAUUAUUUAUAAACAAAUAUUUUUUAUUUUAAAAAAUAAACCUUAUUUGUAUAAAAAAAUAUAUAUAGAUGAAUUAAAAUAAUAUCUUGAAAAAUCAAACAGAUAUAGAACAACUAAAAAAAUUUAUAUUGAAAAAAGACAUGCAAAACUCAUAACCUGGGUUAUGAGACUGGAAUAAACCCAUAGAAAAAACUUGAAGAUAAUCACAAAACCAGUAUUAAAAAAAAAACACUACAAGAUGAUAAGAUCGUACGAAGCUGAAUCUCCAAAAAUUAAAUUAUGAAAGAUGAAACUAGGAAAAAAAUCAAUUAUACAAACAAAUCUAAGAAAAUGAGGGUGGAAAAAAACAUUAAUUAGAGGGAUAAAAAUUUUCAAUUUGAGGGUUAAAUUGAAUUGAAAAAUAACUUUAAUAAAAGAAAAAACAAAUAAAAAAAACGAGGAUCAAAGUGGAAUAAAUAAAGCAAAAAAUUUUGAUUGAAUAAUGAAAUUGAAAACAAAAAAUACUUCAACAAAAGUGCCAAGAUUUUUUUUUAAAAAAAUAAGGAUCAACAUAAAAAAUAAAACAUAUAAAAAAUUGCAAUUGAAGGACUAAAUUGAAAAACAAACUUCUAUAAAAAGAAUACGAAUUAAAAGAAUGAGGAUUGAAAUUAAAAAGAAAAUGGUUAGAAAUUGUAAUUGAAUGAUUAAAUUGAAAAGAAAAAAAACUUGUAUAAAUGAAAGCAAAACAAAAUAAAAAAUUGAAAUAAUGAGGACUAGAAUUGAAAAGUAAGAAACAAAGAAGACAAUGGUGUACAUUACAUGUUAUGAUAGAGAAAAGAAGAGGAAAAAAAUCAAAUGACCACUAGCAACCAUUUAACCACCGUAAGCCGACACAAGCCACUCCACAAGAAAGAGAACACGGUGGCGCAUCUAGAAAUGGCGGGGGGGCAUUUUAGCCACUGAAGGGUGUGCUCACAUGCAACGCCUGAAUGACGCGGAUACCACCAACUCACUGGUUUAUGUUGAACAAAACUUCUUGGAUCCAAGGUUAUAUUUAUAGUUCUCUGGUAUAUGAAAAAAAAAUAUAUAUACCCCUACUUGAAACAAUUGAUUUUUUUUUAUCUUAGGGAUUUUCUGUUAUUUUAAUAUUCAUUAAAAAUUUAUAUAGAUAAAAAUAAAUACACACAAAUCAAUAAUGGUGAUUGAUUCUUCUAAAAAUACUAAAAUAUUCCUAAAUAAAAAAACAACUGUUUUUUUUUUCCUAUAAUAUAAACAUCAAUCACCACUAUCAUAAUGAAAAUAGUACACUGAAUCUAUAGUUACAGUAAAUCCUGAUCAAUGCCACUGUUAUAUGUUGUAUUUCUAUGCAAUUGUAUUAAUAUACACGAUCGACACUCCACGUGAAAAGAAUAUUAAAUUAAUAAUUUUAGAUGUUGUAAUAUUAUAUAUAUUGAACUUGGAAAUAUUAUUAAAAAAAUAUCUUAAAUACAUAGCCAAAACACGCUACAAAACAAGGGGUGUGUGAUGAAUAUACAAUGGGUGAAUGCGUAUAAACUAAUCUUAGAGUACACGGAAUGAAAACAAAUUCAAAGAAGAAUCUAACCACGUUCUAACUAUAGUGAUGAUUGCUUGAUGGAUUAAUUAAUGGCAGAGACAUAAUGUUUGAAUUGAAAACUUACUUUUAUAGUUGAAAGUGAAGAAUUUGACGCAGUUAAAUUAUAUCCCAAUAUCCUCCGGUACUCUUACCUUAAUUAUUCCUUGUGAACGCGUUUUAACUGGUCAUUAAGGGUGUCUUGUAGUCAACAUUUUUUAUAUGUUAAUGUUGUUUUCAGCCGUAAACUCUCUUGACUAAUUGCUUGUUGGGCAUCCAUAAAGUCAACAUUUUUUCAAUUAAUUAAUGCUUGAAAGAAGGGUUUUAAUUAGUUCUAUAGCAAUAAUAACUUUGAAUUCAAAUAAUAGCAAUAAAUACUUUGAAUUCAAACUUUUUAUGGAAAAUGAUGAGCGGAUAGCUACACUAUUUAUGAAAAAAAGUAGGUUAAAUAAUAGCAAUAAAUACUUCGAUUUUAAAAUAAAAAAACAAAACCCUGUAUCUAUCCGAGUUAUAAUCGAUCUGGCGUAUAUCAAAGUGCAGGUUGACUCCGUGUGCUUUUUUUUUUUAAAGGAAAAUUAUAUCCCAGGGCCCUUGUAAGACUAUCCUCCUUUUAUUAUUGAUAUAUACUAUCCCAGGAGGAGUUGAGGAUUAGCACAGAGAAUUAUCACUGGAAAUGAUUUCACGUAAAGUGUUUUUGCUGUUGAGCAGCAUGAUAAUUUCCUCCUCUUUUUUUAAAAAAUAAUUAAUUACAGUCAUAAUUGGAUUAGACCACUAAACAUGUCAUGCACCAAACCAACUAGGAGACGAUUAAGAAUUACUAAUGGUCCUCCUGGGAGGUGGAUCAGAAGCUAAUUUCAUCGUUGAGGUUUUAUAUAUUCCCUUCAUUUCUCGCCUAAAUUUUCCGUUCCUCUCAUGCUUGAAAAGACUGUUUGGUUUCUUUUCUGCAAUAUCACCAAAGCCUUCUUCCUGGUGAAAAAUGAUUUUUUACCAUUUUAGCCCUUCAGAUGUAUUAUUAUGCAUGUCUAAACUAACAAUUACGUCAAGGUAACAAGUGAUGAUAAUCCCAUCAACUCGAGAUUCCUCUCUAUCCCAAUAGCACGGAGAAAUUAAUUAAAAAUAAAACAAAAUCGUGGCUAAUGGCCCGAAUCAGGGAAGAAGUUCCCAGAAAUUUUAAAUAACGCGUAGGGGACACCGAAACAUGUGCGAAUUUCAUCACAGAUGUUUGCAUGGAUAAGUGCUUGGAGGAUAACGCUAGCAUAGUUUUAUUACUAGCUAGCAAUAAUUUCGGUAUAAGAUAUUAGGAUUUAGCAGCUAGCACUCUGAUUCCAAAUACAUGUUGGGAAGUUGGGAGGCACCAGAUCCUCGCUCCAAACUUGAAUAGAUUUGCCUUAAGAAGCAAAUUCUGGACUGGUUCUGAAAUAAUCAAUGGCUUAAUUAGUUUAAAAAUACAUUUUAAGUGGAUUGAUGGGAUGAUCAUUGACACUUCAAUUAAUCCAGAUCUCUGAGUCGAAAUCUGUUAGCAAAUCAGUACGCGAGCUCCUUUUUUGCAAGCAUAAAGUUGAGAAGUUCUUCUCGAAGAACUAGCUAGUUGAAAAAUGUAGGGUGGCGGUGUCGGAUAGAGAAAGCUUAGAGUUCUUAUCAUUCAUUUUUUUCUCUCUCCAAGAUUAGAACCAGAAGGGGAUCGAAGACAUCAGGCUCGAAGACAUCAUCUAACGGCUCUUGUUACUCCCUAAAAGGGACAUAAAAUGCCAUCACACCAUCAGGAUGUCAGUCCCUUUUGAUAAUACAAUAGAUUCCUGAAAUUCUGGGGCAUUGAUCAAUUAGCCAGUGCCUUUUAUAAAAGAUCUUUUACUUCCAGGUUCCAACACCCACUCCUCUCCCUUUCCCUCUUGCACUGUUGCUUGAUAUUGAUGGUAUGAGAUUCCAAACCUCUCUUGAUAUGUUCAUCAUUAGUUUUCUCUCUCUCUCUCUUUAUUUUCUAUGGUGGUGGGGAAGUUGGAGAAACUAGAGAAAACGAUGGCUGGCAUGAUAUCUUUAAUGCAAACACCAUGAAAGUUUCUUUAUGCCACAAAAAAAAAAUGCUCCGAGAGAUUAUGAUGGCAUAGUUAACUCCUUCCAACCAUGAGAAGAAACAGUAUAAAUUAAUACAUAGCUUUGGAGCCUACAGAAUAACUGUAAUACUUAAUACUGAUAAUAUAUAUAUAUAUAUAUAUCAUAGUAAUCAUGUAACCCACCAGCACUAUAUUCAUAUGCCUGUAAAUAUGUGAAAAGAUUUAAAUUCUGGAAAUCAUUGUGGCCGUCCACUCUAAAUCAAUAGCAAGCACAAAAGCACCAUGCAUCAUGAUUCAAGGGGCAGGAAGAGCGCACAUUACACACGAUCCUAGCAAGUGGAGGAAUAUAGGGGGAAUCAAGAUUCAAGAAAGUGAUAGAGAGAGGGGUAAAAUGUGAGACACGCAAGUAGAUUUGAAAAGCGUAAAAAUUAGCUGGUUCUGGGGAGACAAGCACGAGAAACCUGAAUAAAUAAAAGGAAGGAUAUAUUUUUCAAAGGAGCAAAAACUAACGUAAAAUUGAAAAGGAAAAAAAAAUAUGGAAAAUUAUCACCAUGCUCUGUAGCAGAAUGCGCUCUAUUUCUAUCCUUGUUUAUAUCAUGGACACGGAGAGUUUACGUUUCAUCCUGUCCUAUCAUAUUCUAUUCAGCGUAGGGAUUGGUUAACAGUAUGUUUGUUCAAAAUUUAUUUAUUUUAUUUAAAAUUAAUUUUUUAGUAUGUUUAUAUAGUUUUGAUGUGUUGAUAUUAAAAAUAAAUUUUAAAAGAUAAAAUGCAUUAUUUUAAUACAUUUUCAAAUUAAAAAAAUAUUUUAAAACAUAAUUUCUACCAUACUUUCAAACAAAUGCAUAAAACAAAAAUAUUUGUUGUUAUUGUUAACAAACACUUAGAACAUUCACUAUCUUACAAAUCAUUGUUGACUUAUCAUUAUUUUGAUUUUUUUUGUUUUUAAAUUUUAUUAUUUAAUGUUAAAAUUAUUUAAAAUUAAAUUUUAUAAUUUGUUUUUUACAAUUGGUUUCAUAAUCCUUGUUUUGAAAAAUUAUCUCAGAUUUUUAAUUUUUUUUUUUAUUCUUUAACAUUGAUUUGCAUAGGAUUGAUUGAGCUUUAUAUUUAUUUCGACUUGCAUUAUACAUGGUUGUCUUAGUUUUAUGAAUUAAAUUGCAGGUUUACAAGUUAACUCAAGUUGACUUGUAUUGUUUUUUGGAUAUGUUUUUAAUUUUUCUCAUGUUUUGCCUUUUAAUAUUAAGUUAAUUGUGUAUUAGAAUUAUAAUUUAUUUUUUGAGUUAUUAAGGUCUUACGAUAUAAGUUAUGGAUUUAGUAGGUUGACUCGGAUUAGCUUAAUUCAAUUUAAUAUAUUAUUAUUUUAUAUAAUAUGUUUUGAAUAAAAUGUUCUCAUGCAAAUUUCUUAGCUAAAUUAUAUUUUUAGCAGUCAAAACAGUCUUAACAUGAUUUAUUUAUUUUAUUAAAAAAUAUAUUAAAUAUUUAUUUUUAUAUUUGUUUUAUAAAAAUUGAUCUCACCCCUGAUAUAACGCAAUCAACGAUAUAGUCAUUAAUUUUAGUGAAACAAAGAUGAAAGUCCUUAUUGGUACAUUUGUCACGAAAUGAUGACAGGUGUUCGGUCUUAGUACUCUCCUCAGAAACUCUAUGUGCUGGCCUUUUUUUUUUAUUAUUAUUAUUUAUUUCCAAAAAUCAAGACUAAUCAAUAUUGAAUGCUAAUAAUGAUUCAGGAUGUAGGAAUAGUAUAUUAUUAUUAGCAAAAAAAAAAAAAAAAAACCUAAACUCAUUGGUUUUUAUUUGGCAACAACAAACUCUAUUUAUUAUUAUUAUUAUUAAUUACUAAAUUGUUGAGCACUUGAUUUACAUUUUGAGGUAGAUAGAUGCGUAAUGGGAACAGAGGAGAGGAUCUAGCAUUUCAGAGAUUUUCUCUUCUAUUUAUUUACAAAAGAGACAGAAUUUCCUCAGUUUCCCUGUCUAUUUUUAUCCGUUUACUUUUGUGUCUGUGUUUUGUCACGAUCAUUGGAUGCACGUGGAAACCCAGAAGGUAAAAAUUGCUUUGUUGUUCUCUUCCAAUGCUCCUCUAGUUCUACUGCAAGUAUACAACAACUUCUUCUUCUUGCGCGUCUACAAUUCCUUUUCUUAUAUAUAUAUAUAUAUAUAUAAUGUGAUUUAUUUCCUGGGCUUGUGUGUGUGUGUGUAGAGAGAGAGAGAGAGAGAGAGAGAGAUUAGAGACUGACAUGCAUAAUAAUAAUUUCGUGUUUCUGUCGAUAUAUAACCCUCAUUAUCACCAUAUUCCGUCUUCUUCUCUUUGCCAAAUCAUCUCUCUCUUUCUCCUUCUUUUUUGUAAGCAUUUUUUUUUCUUCUCUCCUUUUUCUUUCUGUGUUUCUUUUUUGCACGUAUGAUUGCAAGAAUCUUGUUUUUUCUUUUUAUUUCGAGAAAUCUGUAUGUGUGUUUGUUGCUUUGAUUUAUUGGUGUAACGGGGCAUGGGAUUUUUAAAUGGUUUUUUUUUUUUUUGUGAUCUGGGUUUGGUUAAUUACUAGGAGAAAUCUCUCCUUUUCUUUUCCUGUCACUUAUCUUUGAAUUAUAAUGAUCAUGCCAUUUAUUGUUCGGUUGCCAUUUUAUUUUGUUAUUUUCAAUUUGAACUGAAUGUAUCAAUUAAUUUUUCUUUCUGUUUAUACAAGAGAAGUUUGCUGUUUCUUGGAUUUUCUAUUGGAAGAUUAUUGAAUUAUCCUGUUAUGAGUCAGGGAUGUUGUAAAGUGAAAAUUGUCUAAUUUCUUGUUGUCUUAGUAGCUUUAUUCUAUGCCAAAUUGCCAAUGAACUGUGACACUUGGUGGCUAUUCGAUGUUAUAGUUCUCUCUCGCUUUUUUUUUUCCUUUCACUUGCUGCCACUUUGUUGUUUGUGAUUUGUUGCUCUUUUGACCAUUAUAUUUUUCUUGGUGGUGUUUCAUUUGUUAAAUAUGUUAAUAGUUGAGUUGUUAAACUUGCUGAGUAGGAUGGCUCAUUCUGGGGUUCAUAAAGAUAGAGGGGAGUUGAGGAUUCAUGAGAAUUUGGAUGAGCUUGGCACUGAUUUGGCAGAAUAUAUUGCUGAAUUAUCAGAGGCAUCGGUGAAGGAGAGGGGUGUCUUUGCCAUUGGCCAUAUCUGGUGGUUCUCUCAUUGGCUUGAUGGGGUAUUUAUGCAAUUGCAUUUCGUGUUUCCUCGUUUUUUGGUUUUAUGAUGUUUGUGUUUUUGUUUACAUUUCUGGUGGGUAACAGGAAACUUUGUGAAGCUCCUUAUAACAAGACUGUAGACUGGGCUAAAUGGUAUGUAUUUUGGGCGGAUGAACGGGUGGUAGCCAAAACCCAUGCUGAUAGCAAUUAUAAGCUGGCAAAGGAUGGUCUUUUGUCCAAGGUUUGUGCCUUUGUUUGUUUCCUUUAUAUUUUCCAACUGUCCUUUAUCUACAUGCAUCCGGUAAUCAGUCUCCAAAAAGACUUUAAGGGAAGGAAAUUGAAGUAUUUCAAAGUGCCUUCCUUGGUCAAGCAUUUUGCUGCAUUUUGAGUUCUUGGCUUUGUUCACCAAAUAACCAAGUACAGAUUCUUCUGUUUUCCUAUUAAAUAGGCAACUACGUUGGUUUCGUGAUGCCAUUGCUAGAAUAAAUUCACCUCCCAAACUGGUCUUGAUCUGAUGCAAUGCCUAGGUUUUCCUCUUGUGGGUAGAUAGUUUGUAUUUGCAGUUGAUGGCAAGUCUCUCAUGAAACCACCUCAAGUAGUCAUCUAGUCAUUAGAUGACUCUAGACUUCUGCUGUUGUGAUAUCGCAUCGAAAAUAGAGUACUAUGAGCUUCACGUUUCCAUUUUGUAUUGUUGCAUGCAUUUUCAUUUGGUAUUUUUACAUUUUGUAUCUUUGCAUUCAUUUUCAUUUGGUAUUUUCAUUCGCUUGUUCAGCAUAGAUAGUCAAGUCCCAUUUCUAAUUUUGCUGAAAUGUCUGUGUCUUCUUUUCAAACUCUGGAAAAUCACUGCUAUCAUCCAGUAUCAACUUUUUUGCAGUUCAAUUAAUUUUGCACCUAAAAAAGAUGUCAAAUGUAUUCUGGAUGCUUCUGUUGGCCAUUUAAUGCAGUAUCCAUUUCUACUAACCUCUGUCAAAGGCUGUUUCUCUGUACAUGUUGUUUCUUCUGCUCUGUGCAACCCAAUAUAGCCAAAAAUGCCAGCCACUUUGAUUGGCCUUUUAAAAUCAAUCAUUUUUCUUUUUCUUUUUUACCAUGUGGACCGAUAAACCUGAGCUAAUCUUUGACAAUCAUCUUCCAUUGCCACCCCGGCCAAUCAUCUACCUGUCUAACCUUGACCCACCAUCUUAAGCAGCUUCUUUCUUGUAGUUGACAUGGUAGAGAUGUUGGAAAUUUUAGACAAAGGCCUUAGUCAAUGUGUUCUCAUUCAGAAUGCUCAGGCUUUCUUAGGCUUUACAUUCCUUGGUGCAGGGUGGUUGUGAAAAUUCCCCUACUAGUGCUAACUUGAAAUAAGAGUUGCAUGAAUAUGAGCUUUAAAUAAAAAUGUUAUCAGAGAGUUGAAGCUACCCUGUGUUUAUAUGAGACAUUGAUUUGUUGCUGUUUCGUGAAUGCUAUGCUUUGGUACUGUGUAUUUUCAUAUGUAUAUUAGAUACAUGUCUUUUCUUCCACCACACUUCUUAGAUUUUUUACUAUGAUGUAUGACAAUGCCCUUUUUGGAAAUGUUGCAGCCCCCUGAACAAAGAUGAAAUAGGAAAAAUUGUGUAUGUCGCAUAAAGAGCUCUUCUUGCUUCCCUGAACGCCUAGGGAAUAUGCAAGCCAUAUUUUAAUACCAUGUUUUCCCUUAUGACACAGAACAUGGACCCAUUGCAUAUUAAAAGGAAAAGAUAUAGUUUAAUUUUGAUUGCCAUUACAUCAUCAGGCCUGUUGGUGAAUUUGAAGGGAACCAUUACCAAAUGCCAAUAGGUAAGAUCAGUCAUUAAGCAUGGAGAUUGGUCACUUUAUAUAUUUUGGCACAAUUUAACAUAUAGAAAAUGCAGAUAACUUUGACAAUAGCGUAGAUAACUAGAAAGAAAAGAACAUCGUGAAUGAUUUAUCUUUUAGAUGUAGAAGCUUUUCGUUUCUUCAUCUCUGCUUCAUCAGAGGCUUGAAGUGGAAACAACAAAAGAUUCAGCUAGUCUAACGCUUCUCUUGUUGGGUAAAAUGCUACGACAGUCACCUGCAUCCUUAUCGUUUUAUGCAUGUUAUGCUAGCAGGUACCUGUUGUACCCAGUCAUGUGAAUUCUAUCAAUGAUUCAGUGUCAGCAGAGGAGGCUGCUGACGACUAUGAAUUUCAUGUUCGACAGUUAGUGAAAACACGAACAAUUAAUGUGUCUGAUAUUAGUGACUCCCCAAGUUUGACCUCAUCCUUCUUGGUAUGGGCUCUGAUGGUCAUGUUGCCUCACUAUUCCCUAACCACCCUGUGCUUGACGAGAAAGAUGAGUGGGUUACUUUUAUUACUGACUCCCCCAAAUCCCCACCGGAGAGGAUCACCUUCACUUUGCCUGUCAUCAACUCAGCAUCCAAUGUGGUCGUGGUCGUGACAGGCGAGAGCAAAGCAGAGGCUGUACACUUGGCAAUUGAUGACGUAGGAGCUGACAGCCUGUCAUUGCCUGCACGGCUGGUCCAGCCAACAAAAGGGAAGUUGGCGUGGUUUUUGGAUAAGCUGGCUGCCUCAAAACUUGACGGUUCUCAGUUUUCUGAGUAGGGUCAAGCUUUUACUGUCAAUGUGUAUGUUUGUAUGUAGUGGACGUACUCAACACCUGUGGAUUCUUUUCUUUCCUAUGACACCCCCUUGUUUGCUUUGGGUUAAAUUCUCCAUUUUGGCUUUUAUUCUCUCUUCUUUAGAGGAGUUGGAGAAGUGUGAUUAUCCUCUUUGUAUGAAGAAUAAAGUUGGGGCCUCAGUGCAAAACUUUUUCUGGUUCUGGUUUCUUUUAGGAUGGAUUGCGAUGGUGGGAUAGUAGUUCAUCGGAAAGCCAGCCCAUCGGGAUGUUAAACAGGUCCUGUCUUUUGCUUCACAGAGAGAUUACAAGUUCCAUGACUUUCUGUAGGACUUCACUCCUUUAUUUUUCUUUUUUCUUUUUCUUUUUCUUUUCUUUUUUAUUUUUUAUAACGUGACCCUGACAUUUUUAAUAGCUUGUGAAUGACAGAAAAGCAAUCAACUGAUACAGAGCCAUUUUCUUGUACAUUCCUGUUGCACUUGAUAAUCACAGCGUUCAAGGGAAAUAAAUAUUCAGGGAAAAAAGAUAAAAAGAGAGAAGAAUAAUCUGAAACCUAAUCCUGCCUUAAACGUGACAUCACUUUCCACAGAAAUCAAGAUUAGCUAUUCACCUACUCCAAGUUAUCAUACACUAAAUAAUGGUGACAGCAUCUAGGCUUUCCCCAAGCCUGUGUAGACGUGUAAUUUCUUUUCCCCUAAACUUUUUUGUUUUUUUGAUUUAAACUUUAUAAGACCAAAUUGAAUGCCAGAUUUUAGUUGAUUUGUUAGGAAAUGGUAAAGAUUAAAAAAUAAGAUAUUAAAGUGAAAAAAACAAAUAAAUAAUUAGUUUUUUUACUUUUUGAUUAAAUGUUCAUUAUAGUCCGCAUGUAUUUUGAAUUAUAAAAUAUUAGGUCCUCUAAUUUCUUAAUUUUUUAAAAAAUAUAAAUUUUAAUUUAAAAUUUUAUCUUUAUUAUUUUUCAGUUUUUGAUUAAAAAAAAAAAAAGGAAAGUCACUAGAUUCCGGUAUCAAAAAAAAUUAUUGAUAAUAAUUAUUAAUACCGAUUUCAACCGACAAAAUAAUCAUAUUUUGAAUCAAGAGUUGUCCAUGAAUCAAGAACGUUUGCUCCAAUGGGUAGGGUAUUCAGAAUUAAUAAUUCAUAUCCUGGGUGAGCCUAAUCAGACUACUAAGAAAUUUAUAUUUGGAUUUAAGCAGAAUAUUUUCCUACGCCCUCCCCUGGAAAGCAGGAAUAAUGGCAUUUGAUGCCCGCGCCUCUGCUGAAGAAAAUGAAGACCGGAGAGUUUGGCAAACAGUAAUUUGUGAUGAUAGAUGCUAUCCGUAAAAUACAAAAUUGAUGCUACAUCCAAGAAGCCUUGUACGCAUACUCCUUCUCCGUUUCCGAACUGGUGUCAUCUGGAACAGGCUUCACCGGGCGGCAUUCCAUUUCUGGUGGUGGCAUGUAGCCUUCCGGAUCAGAAUCGUUCUCCAAAGUGCGGUAUUCCUUUUCUGUUACUGACCUUAUGCCAUUUUCAUCAGGCUCCACUUCAUCUCCCAUCUCUUCCCUGGGAGGAAAGCCACGUGUCCGUCCAAGAAGCCAUUGAUCGAUAACUCCACAGUCAAUUGCAUACUUGAUUGUGCUUUCCAAGUAUUCUUUAUCGGUAAAAAGGUCUGGUUGAACAGUUAACAUUCUCAGUAGACCUGCACGCACAACAGUAAAAUGAGCUUAGCAAAAUAAUGGAUUUUUGGGAAGAGGUUAAUACUGUAACCAGGGUAGACAGAUACGAAACGUUUAAAAUUCAAUGCCUAAACAGCACUGAACAUCUUAAUGCAUGCUUUCAUGAAUACGAUAAAUAAAUAAAAAAGGACUCGGAUUGUUUUCUCUCAACAAUGUAGCAGAUGCAUUUUACCCAAUCUGCAAUAUCAACUAGCAAACUGAGGGGCAUUACCUAUUUUUUGUCUCGUAAAAGUUUAUCGGUGGGAGAGUUCAGACCAACCUACCAUACGAACUGAUAAGCUGGACUCCAAAGUCACAACAGAGCACUUUCACCAACUCAGAGAAUAAGCCAGUGCAAACCAAUUCCUAGGCUUCUCUUAAGUUAAUCUAAAACCCAUAAUACAGUUCAGUUCAUACUCUAUUUUGUCUCUGAGACUUUUUAUAUUUUAACGUGGCAUAUGAUAGCGGUCUUCAAGUGGAGGAGCAUGGCAUCACAAAACGAAGAACUCAACAGCUCUUGUUCUACUUAUAUAAGCUUAAAAAAUACCCUACUCCAUGCCCUGCUGUAAUUUAGCGAAAAUAUCCAUGGGCAUAAGUACGUACCUGCAGUGAUGCCAUCUCCAGAAGCUGACAUAUCACUGGUGAAAGGGGUAACGGGGGGAUCCUCCAUGCCAUGCACUGCUCCAUUGUGCUCCCUGGUGUAGUAAUGUAUCUUUGAAGUGCCAUUUGUCACAAACAAAACCUCUAGAUUUUCAUGCCAAAGUGGUGCAACAACUUCUGGCCCAUAAUGGACAAACUUAGAUUUGGCAUUAUUUCUGGUGUCGUUCCUCAUCGGGCUCAAUCCCGCAUAGAAACUCAAGUUCUUGCUUAGUAACUUCAACAACGUCCGCAAGGUUCCAUGCUUCUUGUAUGAAUAGUUUGGUUUCUUCACUUGACUGCCACAGUGGCAAGGGAAGGUUUACAUCAUAGAAAACAACUGCUCCCAAUUUCUUUGAAACUUUAAUUGCUCGCAAUGCAGUUGAUCUCAUGCUCC
rnacentral:lncRNA from 1 species